UACGGAGGAUGCAAGCGUUAUCCGGAAUGAUUGGGCGUAAAGCGUCCGCAGGUGGCUAUGUAAGUCUGCUGUUAAAGAGUGAGGCUCAACCUCAUAAGAGCAGUGGAAACUACAUGGCUAGAGUGCGUUCGGGGCAGAGGGAAUUCCUGGUGUAGCGGUGAAAUGCGUAGAGCUCGGGAAGAACAUCGGUGGCGAAAGCGCUCUGCUGGACUGCAACUGACACUCAGGGACGAAAGCUAGGGGAGCGAAUGGG
rnacentral:rRNA from 1 species